rnacentral:rRNA from 1 species
UGGGGAAUCUUGGACAAUGGGCGCAAGCCUGAUCCAGCCAUGCCGCGUGAGUGAAGAAGGCCUUCGGGUUGUAAAGCUCUUUUACCAGGGACGAUAAUGACGGUACCUGGAGAAUAAGCCCCGGCAAACUUCGUGCCAGCAGCCGCGGUAAUACGAAGGGGGCUAGCGUUGUUCGGAAUUACUGGGCGUAAAGCGCACGUAGGCGGAUUGUUAAGUCAGAGGUGAAAUCCCGGAGCUCAACUUCGGAACUGCCUUUGAUACUGGCAAUCUAGAGUCCGGAAGAGGUUAGUGGAAUUCCCAGUGUAGAGGUGAAAUUCGUAGAUAUUGGGAAGAACACCAGUGGCGAAGGCGGCUAACUGGUCCGGUACUGACGCUGAGGUGCGAAAGCGUGGGGAGCAAACAGGAUUAGAUACCCGAGUAGUCCCUGAGCGGGCUGGCAAGGCGCAU